rnacentral:tRNA from 1 species
UGCGGGGUGGCGCAGAGGUAGCGCGCCGGGCUCAUAACCCGGAGGUCGUUGGUUCGAUUCCAGCCCCCGCGACCC